GAUCCUGGCUUAGGAUGAACGCUGGCGGCAGGCUUAAUACAUGCAAGUCGAACGGUAAGGUCCGAAGUGGCAACACGGAGGAUACACGAGUGGCGCACGGGUGCGUAACGCGUAUGCAACCUGCCCCCGACCGGGACAAAACAGCUGGAAACGGCUGCUAAUAUCCCAUGGUCAUGCGGAAGGGCAUCCUUCUUCAUGUAAAGAUUCAUUGGUCGGGGAUGGGCAUGCGUAUUAUUAGGUAGUUGGCGGGGUAACGGCCCACCAGGCCGACGAUGAUUAGGGGUCCUGAGAGGGUUAACCCCCACACUGGAACUGAGACACGGUCCAGACUCCUACGGGAGGCAGCAGUAGGGAAUAUUGGGCAAUGGGAGCAAUCCUGACCCAGCCAUGCCGCCGUGAAGGAAGACGGCCCUAUGGGUUGUAAACUUCUUUUGCCGCAGAGUAAACCCGGUCACGAGUGGUCGGUUGAGAGUAUGCGGCGAAUAAGUAUCGGCUAACUCCGUGCCAGCCGCGGC
rnacentral:rRNA from 1 species